rnacentral:rRNA from 1 species
UAUCGACGAGUUUGAUCAUGGCUCAGAUUGAACGCUGGCGGCAUGCUUUACACAUGCAAGUCGAACGGUAGACCCUUUCGGGGGUUGAGAGUGGCGAACGGGUGAGUAAUGCAUCGGAACGUACCGUGUCGUGGGGGAUAACGUAGCGAAAGUUACGCUAAUACUGCAUACGCACUGAGGUGGAAAGCGGGGGAUCGCAAGACCUCGCGCGAUACGAGCGGCCGAUGUCGGAUUAGCUAGUUGGUGGGGUAAAGGCCUACCAAGGCGACGAUCCGUAGCGGGUCUGAGAGGAUGAUCCGCCACACUGGGACUGAGACACGGCCCAGACUCCUACGGGAGGCAGCAGUGGGGAAUUUUGGACAAUGGGGGCAACCCUGAUCCAGCCAUGCCGCGUGCGGGAAGAAGGCCUUCGGGUUGUAAACCGCUUUCGGACAGAAAGAAAUCGCAUGGGCUAAUACCCUGUGUGGAUGACGGUACUGUAAGAAGAAGCACCGGCUAACUACGUG